rnacentral:rRNA from 1 species
GAAGCAGGGAAGAAAACAUACAAGUACCCUGUCGAAUCAUUGAUUCGGCAACGGUUCAAACAUCUCAAUUGGAGAGUUUGAUCCUGGCUCAGAGCGAACGUUAGCGGCAGGCUUAACACAUGCAAGUCGAGCGACAAAGGGGCUUCGGCCCUGAGUAGAGCGGCGGACGGGUGCGUAACACGUGGAUAAUCUGCCUCGUGGCGGGGGAUAACAGUCCGAAAGGACUGCUAAUACCGCAUGUCAGGUCGGAAACCCUGGUUUACUGACGAAAAAGAGGGCGCCCGCAAGGGGCUCUCACCACGAGAUGAGUCCGCGGCCCAUCAGCUAGUUGGCGGUGUAAUAGACCACCAAGGCUAAGACGGGUAGCUGGUCUGAGAGGAUGACCAGCCACACUGGGACUGAGACACGGCCCAGACUCCUACGGGAGGCAGCAGUGGGGAAUAGUUGGACAAUGGGCGAAAGCCUGAUCCAGCCAUGCCGCGUGAGUGAUGAAGGUCUUCGGAUCGUAAAG